rnacentral:lncRNA from 1 species
CCAUCAACAUGCUGCCACUUCAUCUUGUUUAGGCUCUUCGACUGCUUUAUAGAAGGACACUGAUGUCCACAUCUGUCUCCUUGAGACAGGCAAAGAAACAAAUCCUUUAUCCUGUCUCAAAAAGAGCUGACAAGCUUUUAGUAGUGUUUAUCUUCACUGAAGGGUGAUAACCUUGAAAAUGAAAGUGAAAAGAGACUGAUACAAUUAGCUGUAGGCAAAAAUACUAUUUUACAGCCAUAAUUAAACAACUUUCUAGCAAACGGCAUUUCUAUCAUUCUAGCACCACUAGCAUUAUCGCCUCUUCUCCCAUUGACAUA